GCCCCUUCCGAGAGCGGCCGUUGCUGUCUGUCUCGCGCGCCUGAUUUGAACGUGAGGCGACGGUUGGCCGCCGAGGGGGCGGCUGAGGCGCCGCGUCGCUCGCGGUCCUUGGUCGGCGGCUGAGGGCCUUGCUCCGGCCCCUUCCACCGAGAUGGUCGGAGAGGUUGUGGUCAACGUCUCCCCGCCCGUCGGGUUCUUCCCGGCUUUCUUGGCUCGAAGGGUAGAGGCGAGGGCCUGCGCCGCCGUCGCUUUCCUGAGGUGACACAGCCGUCGUGGGAGCCGCGCCUCCAAGCGGUGGCCCAGCUUCCUCUCGUUUCCCUCGGCGCUGGGCAAGGGAAACGAUGGCCGUUUCCAACGCCUCUUGGAAACGCACCACAGCUGGAGCUAGUGAAUUACCUUUCUCUGGAGUUUGGACCAUGGUGCCUGUUAACAAAACUUGGAUGUAUAUCAAGCAGUGCUGUGCUCGCUAAAGUGACUUAGUCUGUAAAAAUGCUUAGCUGCCAAGGGUAGCAGGAGGGGUCAUCUCACAGUGUAGAACCUGAUCUGGUCCCACAGCCACUGCUUCCCUUCUGCCGCCACGAAAAGAUGGAGAAGGAGGUCUUGCCGGCAUCAUUCUGUCACCUGCAAGAGAAAAAUGGUAAGCAGGACGCCAGGAGUGCCUGCUUUUCUUGCAGAUGAAACAGGGCAUCUCUAACUACAGAUGGGCUUUUGAGAAAGUCUUACCUGCUGAGUGCAUUUGGAUGUUGGCCUCUCUCUGGUAUCCAAUGGAGCCCGAGGUCUGCACUACUUAUAUAUCUUCAAUGAUGAUGUCAUCUGCAUGGAAGAGAAUGAGAAGAGAAUGAAAAUGAAAAUGAAAAUGAGAUUUUCCCACAGGCCUUUAGUCAAAGGGCGCUGUCUCCAAGGUGUGGGGCUUACCUUCUUUCGGCUUCAGGCAGAAGCAAGCCAGGUCCGGCCGAACUAUCAUCUGCAGAAGAAAGAAAAAUUGGGGUCAGAUGGGAGCGAGAGAGCACAGAAGCAGCGCCAAGUCAGGAAGAAUGGGUCUCCCUCUGUCUUGGGCCCAAUCCCUUGGUCCCAGGACCUCCCUGGGCCCUGCAGCCUCCUGGGCAGAGGUGGAAAGGGCAGCAGCAGGAAAGGGGGCAGGAAAAGCCUCUGACCCCCAGAGACACACCCUGCAUCAUCUGCGCUAAAGAUCACUUGGGGAUGUGAUCUUGGGGGGAUGAAAGUAACCAAAGAAAUGAAUAGAAGAAGGCAAGGUACUUACUCUGAGGUUGGGGUAUUUCCGGGCAAUGGCCAGCAGCAACGAAAUGCUGCUGGCCGCUAGUUCUUGAGCCUCCCCACUUUCCCCCAGGGUGUAUCCUCGGAGGUCCUGCAGGAGGAAAGAGCGUCUGAGAGUCAGGGGCCAGUCUGGGUCAAAGCGGCCCCCACCACGGAGUCCUUGGUCCUCUUUUGCAUCCUUGGACUGGUUGCCCCCCAUGCCCAUUCCUGCCCUCCUCUGUCCAAAAAAGGAGGGCCACUUGCUCACCUGGCGCCAUGGGCUGCUCUGGGUCUUGCUGGGGGGCCACCCUGUGGCAUCGCCUGAACAAGUGCCUUAAGCACCUGAUCAUAGAAGAGAUGAGCGGAAAGAGCGACUCAGACGCCAGCAGCCCCAAUUCUUGGGGGGUGUUUGUGUGUGAGGAGGGGCGUCUGGAGAAAACAGUGAACCACUGCCAAAUUGGCAGAACAGAAAUACGUAUGUGGAGCCUAAUCGAUCCUUGCUGGCCCAUCAUGACCAAUUCCUUCCAUCUCUCUGCAGUUCAGUGACCUGAAGGGGCAUCAUCAGAGCCUGAAAGAGGCAGCCCAGAGCAUGAAGGGCUGGCAGAGAGAGAAAGGCAGUCCCAAGUGCUCUGGGUUCAAGAGCUACGGCCAUGCCAGGACCCAGAGAGCCUGGUCCCCUCAUUCAUGCAGUCAAGCAGUGUAUAAAUUUCAUGAAGCAAAUGAAAUGAAUAGGGAGAGGGGGAGAGCUUUGGGUCAUCCAUUAACAUUGUUAUCAAAAGUUUUGGAAAAGGUAUCGGGGGUUUCCCCCUCCAGCAGGCACCAUACCCCCCUCUGACUGUACCCCAAAUCAACACCUUCACUUCUGCAAAUGUCCCCACAAAACACAAAAAAAGCCACUCAAUCAAUCUGCUCAGACUAUCCAAAGAACUGUCCAAUAGCAACCAGUGAGCGACACAAAACAGACACUUGAACUCAGGACACAAGGGAGAAACGAGCUAAGAGGAAGGCACGCUUGGCAAACCCUCACUGUGAUCAACUCCCACCCAGAAAACUAUGUCCCCACUGUGGAAAGAUGCGUGGAUCCAGAAUUGGCCUCCACAAUCACGCACUCACGGUUAAAACUCACUGUUCAUGGAAGUCAAUCUAACUCGGCUACGAGUGGAAGAAGAAGAAGAAGAUGAUGAUGAUAUCUGGUCAUAGCACUCGCCUACUCUUGCACCGGGAAAACCUUCAACUAUUCAUAUAAAAGCAAUCCAACAUCGGAUUGACACCAUUCCAAUGCUAUUCUGCUCAGAAGGAAGAUAGCUACCAGAGGAGGCACUUGGGACAUGGCUAGGGGCAGCAAUCAUCCCUGAAGCAUGAGACCAUGUACACAGCAACCCUUCUGCUUGGGUGAUAAUCACUGCCCUCCUGGUCUCUGAGUGCCAGACAUGUAGCCAUCUCAAGGACAAGAGUGGAUCCAACCUAUGUGGAUUGGGGACUUGACCAGGACAACUUGGCUGGGAAACAGACUCACCCCCCCCCCCCCGAAAU